rnacentral:misc_RNA from 1 species
UGAAGGUGAGAUUCCUCUGCAGCUAUGCUCCCUAGCUUCUCUUCAAAUAUUAAACUUGGCAAACAACAUGAUGACUGGAACCAUUCCUACUUGUUUUGGUGGUUUUACUGCAAUUGUUAUGCACGAAAACAAAGGACUUUGGGACUAUCAAGUUAGCUAUAAUCCUUAUGUUUAUUCUGAAGAAGAUAGUUAUGGUGAGAAUAUUCAGGCUUAUGUUAAAGGAAUAGAGCUUGAAUAUACUAGUACAAUUCGAUUCCUAUAUUCCAUUGACCUUUCA